UUCAAAGGUUAACUCUGCUUUCUCUUCACAAAUACUGCCAGGCCCGAUUUCUCCAGAAAUCUCCCCACCCCCAACCCCCGCAAAAGAAGACAUAUCGAGAGCGAAACUGAACUAAUUAUGUACGAAUGCCUGGCUUUCCAAGCUGUGACCACAGUGCCAAAGCACAUUCGGUGCCACGGCGAAGAACCGCGGAAAAACAACUCCCAGGCAACCUAUGUAAAAGUCUGAUUUCUGUCACGGAAUUUAAGGAGCGAAUACAAUGCCUCAACAGCCCAUGUGUCAGGACGUUAUGUUUGGAGAACAAAUCCUGUGCGAAUUGGGAGGAAAAGAGAGAGCAAGGACGGUGGGGAGUGAACUGACGGACUAGCCGUGCAAACUUCCAGGGUUUUAAAACCAAAUGCUUCGCUCGGUCAUGCCGAUGUGAAAACGAAUCCGUGAUCCCCCGUUGUGAGAAGUUCUGUUCAAACGGAACACAGCGAAGUCAUCGGCUGGAUCUUUAAACUGCCCUCCCCCACUGGCGCCCCGCCUUGGUAAACACAAGCAGAUGGGAAUUGGAAUCAAGAAGCUUCACCAUUUAUCCCAUUCCGUUGAACCAAACCAGAAAAUUUACAAUAAAACACGUGCUCGUUGAUUUUUAAUAAA